GCGCGGUCGUCUCGGUGCUCCUCUCUCGCCUGCAGCUAGCUGCCUCUCUCCCGGUACAAAUCUGGGGGCUCUGCUUCCCGCGGCGAGGCUCCUGUACCAGUGCGCGGAGUAGGGAACGGCAUGGACACGAGCAAAGGCGGGGGCCGGCGAGUUCAUCCAGAGCUGGCUGACCCCUGGGGAAAUGUACACAGGUGGAUCAAGAGUGCACCUGG
rnacentral:lncRNA from 1 species